CCACAAAAAAAAAAAUCAUGUACACUUUGAUUUGGAAAAUGGAUGAAUGUGUCCCGAGACUGACUGGCGAUCAGUUCAGGGUGUCGUCCGGUCUUUGACUCAAAGUCAGCCCGGACAGUCUCCAGCGGGCCGCGGAACUGAUGGACGAAUGUGUUUUUGGUGCCCCCUUGAGGCGGUCAGGAUAGGCUGAGGCCCUGUGGGCGGCCCGAAUCCUCGACGUAUCGGUUUGUCUCGUUCAGGGACGGGGGCAGAGCAAAAGGCGUUUUCGCCGAGACGUCUCAUCGUCCACCUUUUUGGCAUUCAUUGGACACAAGUGUCUCACGUGUUUCUUCCAAAGUAUGGCAUGCACACAAGCUUUUUCUCUUGGCUCAAUGAAGUUUUUCCCAGCAGCGAUAGUUGGACGUCAGCUCGUUUAACUUUGCAAUCCACACGUGCGUGGGGCCGCCACUCAGGUGCGCUCCACCUUUCCGCCCUCUUUUGUCCGCCAUUUGCGCGAAAUGAGACACUCGUGAGCUCGCCAACUCGUCGGUCGACUUCCCCGAGAGUUGAAGCAUCCCCCCACACCGUCAUUGCUCCACUCGGCCGCAGCAUGAACGUGUUCAGGAAGGAAAAGGGCUCGCCGGGGCCAUCGACCCCGCCGCUCCCGCCGAGGCCCAGCAAGCAGGUGCGCAGCGAUCCAGUCGCGCCCAGCCCGGAUGCGCCGGAUGCGGGCGCGGAUCCGAGUCUGCAGGUAAGCGCCGCGGACGCGUCCCCGCGGUGUGCCGGCUUGACGCCUGCCCCCGCUCCCUUGGAGGGAAGCAACCACCAGGAAGUCGCAAGUCUCCCCAAGUCCAAGAGGUCUCGAGUGAUGGGAGUGAUCCAGAAAGUCAACCCCUUCAAGACUUCAUCGCAGCCACAGGCUGCAGACUCUUCGAAACUGACAACAGACACUGAGCAGAACAAGCCACGAGGAGACGAGCCGGUCCAGUCUCCAACACAGGGUGAAGGUGCAGAAAUCCCCGAGAAAGAACUGGAUGGGAAACAGAACCCCGGAAUGAUUUUGAGUGUCAUCCAGAAGGUCAACCCGUUCAAAUCCCGGCCUCCAAAGGACGCGCAGCCUCCCCAGGUCGACGCCGCGUCCUCCGUCCGCGACGACGACGACGACGCGGUGCCGAAGAGCCCGGCGAGCGAGAGGCCAAAGACGAGAAAGAAGACCUUCAGAAUCAAACGAAUUCUUCCCGCUGCACUUUUUGGCUCCGGAUCCAAGGACUCGGACGCUCGGCCUCAGGAGGCGGAGGUCCAGACGCUCGAGAUGGUCGACGUGGCUGCCGGCGCCUUGGACCCUCUGGAGGAUGAAGACGGACUCUUAGCGUGGUGGAGAACGGUCGACGGCUGGACAGAGUGGAACGAGACCGUCCAGGACCAGCAGUCCGAAGAGUCGGCGGAAGAAGCGGCGGACCGCGUGUUCAUGGCGGCGCGCCUUUUCGUCGACCUGUUCAACCGACGCGGCGCCUCGCUCCAGCGGCGCAUCCUCCAGCUCCUGACCUUGGCCGACGCCGCCGACGACUUCCACAAGAAGACGGUGUCGGCCAGCGUGGGCGGCGGCGUGGCCGGCGUGGCCGGCUCCAUCACCACCAUCACCGGACUGGUCCUGGCCCCGUUCACGGCCGGCACGUCGCUCAUCGUCACGGCCGUGGGCAUCGGCGUGGCCACGGCCGGCGGCGUGACCUCGGCCUCGGCCAACAUCACUGACACUGUGCACUCCAAGACGGACCGCAAGAAAGUGGAGAAAAUGAUCCAGGACUACCAGGAGGAGAUGAACGACAUCAAGGACUGUCUCCACUUCUUACAGGAAGGAAUGGAGACUCUGGAGGAAUGGAACUUUGAGCAGUACGCCCAAAGCAUCUCCCAGAAGUAUCUGAACCAGAACAUCAAACACGUCAUGAAAGAGGGCGGAAGGGCCGGCAAGGCCUUGGUCAUCAACACGGAGAGCCUGAUCAGCACGGUCCAGGUCCUCAGCGUGGCGGGCGGCGCCGCCAAAGCCGCCCAGGUCAUGAGCGUCACCACCGGGGUCAUGUCCGGACUCUUCCUGGCGCUCGACGUCUUCUUCUUGGCGAAGGACUCGGCGGAGCUGCGGAAGGGCGCCAAAACUGAGUUCGCCGCCAAGAUCCGAGACGUUUGCAAAGACCUGCAGGACGGGCUGCUGGAGCUCAACCGCAUCAAGGAAGAGCUGCAGAAGACCAUGGACGGCAUCCAGGUGGAGGAGGAAGAAGAAGACGAAGACGACGACGACGACGACCGGCUCUGCAAGUCUGAGAGUUUUUUAGUCCUGCGGUUUUACGGUACGCUUCGUCUAUUGCAGAAGGUCACGAGAGAGCUGCCGCUGAACUGGUCCCCAUGGGCAUCAGAAGCCAUGGAGGACUGCGUACAGGGGGCGCUCUCGUCCCUUUACCCGCCCUUUGAAAGCACUGCACCUCCUCUCCUCUCGCAGGUGUUCACCGUACUGGAGUCCACCUACCAGCAGGACAGCCUCCGCUACCUCCUGGACUACUUUGUUCCCGCCAAGCACCUCCUUCACAAGCUCCAGCAGCACGCCUGUUCUCAGUACCUGGGCUGCCUCUUCCUCCACUCCGGCUGGCCGCUGUGCCUGGGCAACAAAGUGGUGGUCCAGCUCUCCACCCUGGACUGGAGGCUCCUGCGUUGCAAUGACUUCUACCUGCAGGUGGUACCCUUCUCCGCACGUUGUCCCCGGCUGGCCCUCAAGUGUUUGGCCUCCGGGGGGCGCACUGUUCAGGAAAUUCUGGUGCCCGAGUCCCAGCAUCCUCUUGUAUUCACGAGCGAGUGGCUGCACAGCGUCAACAAAGAACGGGGCCACAGGAGGGAAGUCUCAGACGGUGGGCUGGACACCUGCUUGGUGAGCACGUGUGACGGUGUGCUGCGCCUUCCCUGGAAGGAGGUCGUCUACCCCGAAUUGAUCCACAACCCAUCUGAGGGACCCGGCCUGACCGCCGACCCCGCGGCCGACGUGUCUGACGGUGCUCCGCGUGAGGGGUGGAGUCGAGACUCCUCGGGCUGGGCUGAGGAGCAAGAAAAUGACAGCUUGCCGCCGGACGGCGUGGCCUCGAAGCCUGAGCUUCCCCGGCGGAGGCGCAGCGGAGACUGGCUCGGCCGGACCGUGAGACAUCCUGGGCUCGGAGGAGGAGAUUAUGUGGAGCUGUUGGAGCUGAGAGGAGGGCCGGAUGGAGACAUUGACCCGAGACACGAGUACCUGGAGAUGCGCGGGAUAUGCAAAACCAAGACUUUGCCUCUUUGUAAGCGGGCCAAGGCCGUCAAACUGCAGAGGGGAAAGCAAGUUGGAUCUGGCCCAAUGAACGCCGUUGUUGGCUCCAGCGGGAUCUCCGGAACCCAAACAAAUUCGACGGCCCCCGAGGAGCCUGUGCUGUGGCCUGGGACUUCUCCAGGAGUCACUCAAUCUUUCAACCACGGUGGCGAAAGAACCGAGCGAGACGGCAAGAUCCAGGGAAGCUGCCUAUCUGAAGAGAGGGGGCCUGGCAUUGGGGGAGAGGGUGACAUGAACAGGGUGACGCAGCUUACAGGUGAAGACGCUCAGCUCCCCGACACGGUCGUCGAGGGCUCCUCCGGUCAGGGAUUCCGUUCAGGUUCUGUUUUUGAGAAUACAGAGCAACCACUGAGCGACCGCGGCGAUGCUGCAACAUCGACACGGGAUGUCCCAGACGAAACCGUCGCUGCCGUGACGGACAGCGGCAGCGCGGCGGAUCGCGAUUGCUCGACGGCCGAGCGAACACGGGAUGGUGGUCAAAAGAAGACUCGAGAGCUCCUGAGAGAAAAGGAAACCAAAGCUCCAGCAUUCAGAGCUCCGAGGAGGAAGAGGCGGGGCAGGGGAACUAAAGGGCGGGCUCGGUCCGGCGGCGGCGCUUCCCGCGAGGGCUCCGGGCUGCAGGGGAAAGCUACUCCUCAUCCCGGCUCCACUUCCCGCUCUGACUCGACGCAACGGCCAAUCGCGGAGGAGCGCUGUUCGGACGCGUCGUCCGACGGGGAGUGCCCGUCCGAGAACGAGGCGGAAACUUUGCUCACCCGCAACGGCCAAUCAGCCGCCUUCGAUCAGGUUGCGGAGUCAGGCCGUUGGUGCAAAGAGGCUCCGUUGCUCCGGGAAUUGGACGCAGAGCUCCUCCAGUCGGGCCAGCUGAGGAUGACCGGCACGGUGGACCGAUUGGGACGCGCUCUGGUCGUGGCGCAGCCGGGAGAUUCCGUCAGCGGCGAGGAGAUGGCUCGCGUCCUGGCCUGCUACCACAGAAUGGCACGGCCUGCGACGAAAGAAAAAGGUCUGACGGUGUUGAUCGACAGCAGACGCUCGCCGCCGUCCACGGGCUGCCUCUCUGCACUCAGGUUAUUCCAGCGGCUGCUUCCUGGCGGUCUCGCAGCGGUGUUGGUGUUGGUGUUGGCGGAGGAAGAGCAGCCUUCUUGUCACCUGGAGGGAACCGAGGUCCACGUGUCGCGAGGAACGGCAGUUCUUGAGCAGUUUAUAGAGCGGCAACAGCUGCCCACAGAGAUGGGAGGCGACUUCAGCCACUGCCACUCAGACUGGCUCUCUUUCAGGAUGAGCUUAGAGAACCUGACGCAGCGCUGCGAGAGCGCCCUCCUGUUGCUGGGAGAGGCGAUGCAGUCGAUGGACGCCGAGCCGACGGCCGACGACAUCAAGGAGGUUCCGGCGAGCGCGGACAAGCACCGGCGGCUCAUGGCCGGCGUCCUCGCCGACUGCCGCUUGACUGAGCUCCAGCGAGGGGGCGGGGCCUGGCUGGCGGGGUUGACCAAGAGCGCGCGCGGGACGUCUCCCGAUUGCAGGGCAGCGCUCGCCGACGCCGCCCGACUUUAUGACAGCGUGGACGACGCCCUCCACCGUCUGGUCCGCGUGUCCAACCGGAGGGCUCGCGACCUGGACGCGCUGAGCAGACUGGCCGGCCUGGUGGACGAGCUGGAAAAGUGUGACGAGGAGGUGCAGCGAGUCCAGUUGCAGACGGAAGCCUACAGGGACCCGCCUGUCUCGCUGAGCAGGCUGUCGCUCCAGCAGCAGAAGUUCAAAACGCUGCGUGAGAGGGCAAAUGAGCUGCACGGCCGGACGCUCUCCGUGCUCACCGACCUGGAGGCUUGGAGCGAGUUGGACUGGGUCGGCCUCAGCGACAUCCGGGCCCGACUGCCUCCGCUCAGGGAACGCCUUCGGGACAUGGCCCACGCUCUGUCUGACCGCUGGAGCGCCCUGGACAACACGCAGCGGCUGCUGUCCACACUGACCGAGGCCUCGCAGUGGUGCGACGAAGUGUCCUCCGCCUCCCCGUCCGCCGCUUCCGCCAUCUGCUCCCUUGCGUCUCUCCCCCCCAUUCCGCCGUCCCGUUUCCAGGACGCCCGCUCGCUGGCCGUGGACUUGGGCGGCGGAGCGCUGCUGGAUCUCUGGAGCCGCACGGUGGAGCGUUACCAGCAGACGGUAGCGCAGGUGAAGCCGCGCUUUCUUCAGUCCGAGCGAGCCCAAAACCAAGGCCAGGGGAAGGCCAAGACGCCCGUCGCCGGCGAUCUGUGGGACGCGGACGCGGAGGGCGACUGGAGCCCGGGGGCCGCGGGAAGUGAGGGCGGACUGCAGUCCUGGGGGUCUCUGGCCUCGCUGUUCAGACCACAGAUCUGCUCCACCUUGAAAAUAGGAGAUGAGCGGGGGGCCAAAAAAGAUGGGGCAGUGGGCGGAGGGAAGUUUCUGCAGAGCUUUUUGAAGAAAAGUCCCACAGAGGCAGCUCUCCCUCCCAAGCCCCCCAGGAAGAGACACCCCAGUUUUGACCUACAGGCCCUCCUGGCCCCUCGCACCCCCAAAUCCUGGCUGGCCCGCCGGGGCUUCGUGGACCCCGCGGCCCCCGCCGGCACGGCUGCUGCCAUCCAAGGUGGAGGAGGAGGAGGAGGAGGAGGAGGAGGAGGAGGGGUGCUGAUCAGGGGCGUGGAGGUCAGCAGCAAGGAGGUGGUAGACCACACCGGGUCUCCGCGGCAACACGUGCUGCGGGGCAGGAGCGAGAGGGAAACCGGGACGGAACGGGCCGGGACUACGACGCAGAGCAAAUCCUACCUGCUCUGGUGCAGGACGCUGAGCAGCGAGCGGCAGUACGUCUCCCUUCUCAAGGGAGCGCAGGAGACUUAUCUCCCCCUGCUGGAGCUCUCGGACACGCCGGCCUCCCUGCGGGGGAAGGCGGACGCCCUGUUCCCGUGCUGGGUGGCCCUGAGUACCUUCCACUCGCAGGAACUUCUGCCCGCCAUGGAGGACGCGCUGGUGCAAAGCUUGCUGCAACAGGACUGCUUCAGUAAAUAUCGGGACCACUUUCUCCACUAUUCCAACUACAUCCGGACCAAACCGGAACUGGAUUCGCCGCUGGUCACGCAAGCUGCCGACUUUUUUAAAUCCAAACUCCCCGCGGCGGCCGCCGCCGCCUCCCCCUUGUCGCCUCUGCGCUUCCCUCAGUGCCUGCAGGCGCCCCCCGAAAGGCUGGAGCAGUACUGCGAGGCCCUGGAGGAACUGGGCGGCAUCAACCCGACGUCCGACUCCGCCCUCUGCAUCCUGAGACACGCCCAGCAGCACGGCGAGGACCUGAGGGCCAGCGACCUCAUCGUCGGCUGUCCGAUUCCUGUGGCGGAGCGCGGCGAGCUGGUGCGCCAGGGCGAAUUGACGGUGUGCGGCGGCGGGACCCGGCGGAAGCGCGUGGGCGUGAGGAGAGUCUUCCUCUACCAACACGUCAUCAUCUUCACCAAGCACAAGAGCGGAGGAGGCAGCGCCGGCUCGACCUACAGUUACAAACGCAGCAUGAAGACGGCUGACAUGGGCCUGACGCAGAGCGUGGGCGAGGACGGCGUCAAAUUUGAGGUUUGGGUACGACAGGCGCCUCGCCUCAGAGACUGCGUCACGCUGGAGGCUCGGGACGGAGAGCAGCGCAAGGCCUGGACCCGGGACGUCGCCCGCCUGCUGUGGACGCAUGCCAUCAACAGUACAGAAUUGUGUCUGAAGGAGUCCCUGUGCGUGGGCGUGUCCAGCAAGCUGCUGCUGGACGCCAGCGGGAGUCAAACCUUGGAGUCGGAGCGAGUGCACAGCAGCUGCUCUGACUCGUCAUCGGUUGGCAGCCACAAGGAAGGCGGGGGCUCCCCGGCGUCGGGAAGGGGCCCCGGGAGGACCUCCUCCGGCUGCUCUCAGGGGAUCCGAGGAGGAGUUGGAGCCGCCCCCGCCCGAGAUCCCGAAAAAUGGCGUCGCGCUGCGUACGCUCCUGAGGAUGGAUUCCCCGUCGGAGUUCGGGUUGCCCCGUCCCCGUGAUCCCCCGCCAAAAAGCCCGGACGUUUCCCCUCGGGGUCUGAACGCGGCGCCGCGCCCUUCUCUUUCUGUGUCGGUCCCCGCCGAGGAGGACCGAGAAGAUGAUCCGCCCAACGUGGACCAAAUGUUUCUCUGGCGGACGACGGAUCAUUUCCCGAUCCGAGCGUGUGGCGUUGAAGAGCACCGGCGCGUUUCCGCCGACGGAACGUUUGGGCACGGGUGCCGAUCUCCGACCGGACGCUGCUCGCGAGCGUCAAAUCCAGCGUGCCUUCCGUUUCAAGCACUUCCUGGUCUCUUUUGUACGAGCGUGGUCUUUUUAUCCGUCCUUUUCAGCCAAAUCAGACCCCACCCAGAGAUGGGGGACUUGAGUCGGUGAGACUUGGGCCAGAGUUGACUGCCUUCGCUGUUUUGAUGACUUGACUUGACUUGACUUGACUUGCACUUAACUGGGAGUUAACAAGUCGGGACUUGAUUUGAGAUCGCGGUGAGAUGUUGUAAGACCCGGUAAACACAUAAAGACAAUCAGCCUCUUUUUGUGCGCAUUUUUCCCUUCCCCGUCGGGAAGAUGUUUUCUAAGUCUGAGGUGGCUUCAAAGUUGCUCUGUCGCGAGCGCAGGGUCCAAAACAGGUCGGGUUCGACAAUUUUAAUGAACAUGUUCAAAAUUUUCAAAAGUCUUCGCUCGUAGGUAAAAAAAACAACCCUGACUUGUGGCGCUUUGGGUUGUGACGUGGAACAGAAUGUAGUCAACCGAGAAGCAGCACCCCGACUCAGCAGAGGGAAAAGACGGUAAAUCAAGACCAGCACAGAUCUAAUGUGCUUUUUCUCUCGUGGGUUCCCGAGAUGGCAAGAAAUAGUUUCCAAAAUCGAGUCCUUUUUUUUUUUUUUUUUUUUUGGAUGACCGGCGUUUUACAAGGCAACCCUCGGGCAGACUCGAGAAAUAACAGCACCCGUGCGGAAGUGUUUCGUCUUUUUGAUAUUGUGAGCUCACGUGUGAUCACGUGAGAUUUGGAGCUCGGCGGCAGAAGAGAUUAUUGGCACGCGCCGCAGUUCUGUUGAUGUGUUAGGGUCUGUCACAGAUAAUAAAUCCUUUAAAAUUG